rnacentral:rRNA from 1 species
AUUGAACGCUGGCGGAAUGCUUUACACAUGCAAGUCGAACGGCAGCACGGACUUCGGUCUGGUGGCGAGUGGCGAACGGGUGAGUAAUGUAUCGGAACGUGCCCAGUCGUGGGGGAUAACGUAGUGAAAAUUACGCUAAUACCGCAUACGAUCUAUGGAUGAAAGCGGGGGAUCGCAAGACCUCGCGCGCAUGGAGCGGCCGAUAUCAGAUUAGGUAGUUGGUGGGGUAAAGGCCCACCAAGCCAACGAUCUGUAGCUGGUACUGAGAGGACGACCAGCCACACUGGAACUGAGACACGGUCCAGACUCCUACGGGAGGCAGCAGUGGGGAAUUUUGGACAAUGGGCGAAAGCCUGAUCCAGCCAUUCCGCGUGCAGGAUGAAGGCCCUCGGGUUGUAAACUGCUUUUGUACAGAACGAAAAGGUUUCUACUAAUACUAGGAGCUCAUGACGGUACUGUAAGAAUAAGCGCCGGCUAACUACGUGCCAGCAGCCGCGGUAA